rnacentral:rRNA from 1 species
GUGAACCUUUACUAUAGCUUGACACUGAACAUUGAGCCUUGAUGUGUAGGAUAGGUGGGAGGCUUUGAAGCGUGGACGCCAGUCUGCGUGGAGCCAACCUUGAAAUACCACCCUUUAAUGUUUGAUGUUCUAACGUGGGCCCCUUAUCGGGGUUGCGGACAGUGUCUGGUGGGUAGUUUGACUGGGGCGGUCUCCUCCCAAAGCGUAACGGAGGAGCACGAAGGUUAGCUAAUCCUGGUCGGACAUCAGGAGGUUAGUGCAAUGGCAUAAGCUAGCUUGACUGCGAGCG